ensembl:lncRNA
GCCUCCAUACCAUGUUUGGCAUCAUUCAAAGCUGUGGAGAUGAAUCUCUGAAGGGCUUCCAGCUUCUACAUGAUAUCAGAAGAACCUACUGGAGGCACAAAUAUAGUCAAUAAGUAAUCCCACCAAGAAAAAACAGACCUACUCCACUGACUUCUCCAGAUGGACUCAUUGAGGGAUACAGGAAUGGUGUCAGAGAUUCUGGAGUCAUCCAAGCCACCCCAGGGGAAGCCUGGGCUGCAGUUGCAUCUUAGAGCUAUUCAGCAGCCCUGGGAUUUACCCAAUACUAUUAUUCACACCAUCGAAUCUGAAACUUUCCCAAUAGAACUCAAAUAAUCAUCCCCUCACUUCUGGAUGGCAUUUUGCUGCAGGUGGUGUGAACAAGAGAGAUGUAGCAUGUGCCCCGCCCAACCCUUGGGGUUCUUGUGGCAUCGUCAAGUUUUCAGGCACCACCACAUUCCCCUCAUCCAGGCGCCAGUGCCUGCAGUGGAAGCUGCUUGCCGUACACCUGGUCCAGCCACAGCCUUGCAUGGGGUCGGCACCAGGAGCUGCCUAUUCCGCCACAGCAGUUGGUGCGCCUGGUUAUGUUCAGUGGCCAGACCCCACACUCACUCACACAACCCUCACUACUCUGUGCCUGGCUCACUCUCGGCGGGCAUGGGAUCUGGGCCGGUAGUGCAAACAGAGUGCAGCCUGCUGAGCCAAGUGGGCAAAAUGAGCCCAGUGGGCACGAGCUAAACUCAAGCAGAGGCGCAGAUGGCCACAGAGGUUUCUGGCUGGCGAAGUGACACCUGAAGGAUCCUGUGACAUUAUUGACUCACUUCUAACAAUUAGAAUAAAGCAGAAGUGUUGUGAUGUCACUUCCAAGAUGUUAGGUUAUAAAAAGACUGGCUUUCACGUUGCAUGCACUCACUCUCACUCGUUCUGAUGGAUUACUCAUGGUGGAGAAAGAUAGCUUCCACGUCAUGGAGCAGCUGUAUGAAUAGGCCUAAAUGAGUAACCCUGCAAGUAGGUCUUCUGAGACCAGCCAACUAUCAGUGGGUGAGAUUGGAAACCCCAUUAAGACCUAAGAUGCCUGUAGCUCCAGCCAACACUUUGUAUCCUUGUGUGAGACCAACCCUGAGCCAGAGGACCCCACUAAGCUGUGCCUCAAUUCCUAACCUAAAAGAAACUGUGAAGUAAUAAAUGUUUGUUGUUUUAAGCUGGUAAGUUUUGGAGUGAUUUGUUAUGCAGCAAUAGAUAACUACCUUACCAUACUGUCAGGGGAAAUUGACCCUGAUCAGCAGGAGGAAGCAGGGCUCAUUUUAGACAAGGGGCCACAGAAGAAUUCAUGUGGAGUACAGGAGAUCCACUUGGCUACCUCCUGUGUUCCAUCAUAACUAUGAAUAGACAGAUGCAGCAACUUCAGACUGAAGACAGCAUGAUUACCAAGGGUUCAGACCUUUAGAAAUGAAGGUUUGGGUCACAAUCCCAGGUUAGCAAUCAAGACCCUUCAAGAUGCUAGACGAGGGUAGGGGAGAUUGGAAUAGAUAACUAGAAGAUACCCUUGUGAAUUUCCACUCAGAAAGAGAAGUCCAUGAAUACCAUGGGAGAUCUGCUUUCCUAACAUGUUGGGAGAAAAAUAUCUGUGUGGGUCAUGGAAUGGAUUACAGUGAUCAGGAAAUUGAUGUACUAUUCUGUGUCUCAGAAGAAAUGAAUGAGACUUUCUGCCACUCUGCAUCUUUGCUAGCAAUUUGUAUUGUCGA